GACGCAAUAGUUCAUUUCCUCCCGCCCUUGGCGAAGCCUCUGGCUGGGGGAGCGCAAGCUGCGGGCCGCUAACGGGCCCCCGGGGCGGCUGUCCUGCAGGGAGAGCCUCGCCGCCCGCCGCCAGGCCUGGGGUGGCUGCAAUUCCCGGCAGGAGGUGGCCGAGGUAGUACAGUCCGGCUCCAGGCUGGAUCCGAGUCACUGUUUCCCACAGCUGGGCAGGAUGGAAGUGGAAACACAUCCAUUUGCCAGCUGUGCUUCCAGAAGGCACAGCAACAGUUAAGUUGCCUUCAGCAAGAGGGGACAACAGCUACUGGCCCAGUUGUUUCUGUUUGGAACAGUCACAAGGUUGCCAGUCGACAUCUUCCUCACGGAAAUACAGCGGAGCUACUGCACAACUUUGUGUGUUGCUAAACCAGCCAGAGUUCAGCCAGCAGUAUAUUUAAAGGCUACUUCUUUACUGGGAAUAGAGAAUAGUGGUGUUAGCACCCAUUUGUCUUUUGAAAACCUGCAUGUUCUCUUGUAGUGGGAUGGAAGCUCUUUGGAGAGAAUAAAACUUCUGCUACAAUUC